rnacentral:miRNA from 1 species
GAAGGAAGCUGUGGGAGGAGGAG